GGAGGAAAGCAGGGGAUCGCAAGACCUUGCGCUCAUUGAGCGGCCGAUGCCUGAUUAGCUAGUUGGUGAGGUAAAGGCUUACCAAGGCGACGAUCAGUAGCUGGUCUGAGAGGACGACCAGCCACACUGGGACUGAGACACGGCCCAGACUCCUACGGGAGGCAGCAGUGGGGAAUUUAGGACAAUGGGGGAAACCCUGAUCCAGCCAUGCCGCGUGAGUGAAGAAGGCCUUCGGGUUGUAAAGCUCUUUCAGCUGGAACGAAACGGUCACGGCUAAUACCUGUGACUACUGACGGUACCGGAAGAAGAAGCACCGGCUAACUACGUGCCAGCAGCCGCAGUAAUACGUAGGGUGCGAGCGUUAAUCGGAAUUACUGGGCGUAAAGCGUGCGCAGGCGGUUUUGUAAG
rnacentral:rRNA from 1 species